CCUUCCGCCAGGGGAAACCCCUCCCCUGACAGGCCCUUUGACGGCCCCAGGGCGGGGAGAACGACGGAGAAAAGAAGGAGAAAUCCCCGCAUUCCCCGCAGUUCCCGCUGAGAGCAAGUGCGGGGCCAGCCCGAUCUUUCUGCGUCCUCUCGGGGGAUUCUUUUAUCGUAGGUCCUAGCUUUCCCCCAA
rnacentral:lncRNA from 1 species